rnacentral:rRNA from 1 species
UACGAAGGGGGCUAGCGUUGCUCGGAAUCACUGGGCGUAAAGCGCACGUAGGCGGCUUCUUAAGUCAGGGGUGAAAUCCUGGAGCUCAACUCCAGAACUGCCUUUGAUACUGAGGAGCUCGAGUCCGGGAGAGGUGAGUGGAACUCCGAGUGUAGAGGUGAAAUUCGUAGAUAUUCGGAAGAACACCAGUGGCGAAGGCGGCUCACUGGACUGGUACUGACGCUGAGGCGCGAAAGCUAGGGGAGCAAACAGG